GGCCUAAUGGCCCAAUGGCAAGGCGCUUGACUACGAUUCAGUUCGAUAUCAAGAGAUUCCAGGUUGUAAGUAUUCACUCAGAAGAGCCCAAUUCGAAUUCCGACGCUGACCGUUCAAAAAGCGACCCCUGGUUAGGUCA